GACGAACGCUGGCGGCGUGCUUAACACAUGCAAGUCGAACGGAAAGGCCCUGCUUUUGUGGGGUGCUCGAGUGGCGAACGGGUGAGUAACACGUGAGUAACCUGCCCUUGACUUUGGGAUAACUUCAGGAAACUGGGGCUAAUACCGGAUAGGAGCUCCUGCUGCAUGGUGGGGGUUGGAAAGUUUCGGCGGUUGGGGAUGGACUCGCGGCUUAUCAGCUUGUUGGUGGGGUAGUGGCUUACCAAGGCAUUGACGGGUAGCCGGCCUGAGAGGGUGACCGGCCACAUUGGGCCUGAGAGACGGCCCAGACUCCUACGGGGGGCAGCAGUGGGGAAUAUUGCACAAUGGGCGGAAGCCUGAUGCAGCAACGCCGCGUGCGGGAUGACGGCCUUCGGGUUGUAAACCGCUUUCGCCUGUGACGAAGCGUGAGUGACGGUAAUGGGUAAAGAAGCACCGGCUAACUACGUG
rnacentral:rRNA from 1 species